rnacentral:rRNA from 1 species
CUACGGGAGGCAGCAGUGGGGAAUAUUGCGCAAUGGGCGAAAGCCUGACGCAGCCACGCCGCGUGAGCGAUGAAGGCCUUCGGGUCGUAAAGCUCUGUGGGGAGAGACGAAGAAAGCCUGUGAAGAGCGGGCCUUGACGGUAUCUCCUUAGCAAGCACCGGCUAACUCCGUGCCAGCAGCCGCGGUAAUACGGAGGGUGCAAACGUUGCUCGGAAUCAUUGGGCGUAAAGCGCACGUAGGCGGCGGUAUAAGCGGAAUGUGAAAGCCUGAGGCUCAACCUCAGAAGUGCAUCCCGAACUGUAUCGCUUGAAUCUCGGAGGGGGACAGAGAAUUCCCGGUGUAGAGGUGAAAUUCGUAGAUAUCGGGAGGAAUACCAGUGGCGAAGGCGCUGUCCUGGACGAAGAUUGACGCUGAGGUGCGAAAGCGUGGGGAGCAAACAGGAUUAGAUACCCGUGUAGUCC